rnacentral:rRNA from 1 species
UACGUAGGGUGCAAGCGUUGCCCGGAAUUACUGGGCCUAAAGGGUGCGUAGGCGGCUUGUUAAGUCAGGGGUGAAAUCCCACGGCCCAACCGUGGAACUGCCUUUGAUACUGGCGAGCUUGAGUGCGUGAGGGGUAACCGGAACGAGUAGUGUAGCGGUGAAAUGCGUAGAUAUUACUCGGAAGGCCAAAGGCGAAGGCAGGUUACUGGUACGCAACUGACGCUGAUGCACGAAAGCGUGGGGAGCAAACAGG